rnacentral:misc_RNA from 1 species
AAUUAAACAAUUUUAAGACUUCUAGUGUAAUCUAGAUUCAAAUUUUCAGUAAAGCCUCACAUUAUAGUUUACGUGGAUUGAGGGGCGAAAAUAAAUCGCAUUGGAGUCAUUAAACAUAUUUUAAUGGGGACAUCAAGCAAAAUCAAUAUAUUUAUGAACAAAAAGAUUUCGAUAACAUUUUUCUAGUGGGUGCACUACCCUCACUGAAGAAACUUUGGCUCCAACAGUGGAUGCUGGCUUGUUUUAUGACAAGGAUAGUUAGGAAGUAAUGGAUCCAUGUUAGAACAGUUGCG